rnacentral:tRNA from 1 species
GCCUGGUGGCUUAGUAGGUUAAGCAUUUGACUUCAGCUCAGAUCUUGAUCUCAGGGUCUGUGAGUUGGAGCCCCACAUCAGGCA